rnacentral:rRNA from 1 species
UUGAAAGGGAAACGAUUGAAGUCAGUCAUGCUGGUGGGAAUCAACUUAGGGGAAACUCUAGGUGCACUUCUUCGCUUGGCAGGUUAACGUCGAUCUUGAAUGCCAUAAAAUAAUUGGGGGGAAGGUAGCUUGUUCGGGAGUGUUAUAGCCCUUGAUAGAUGUGAUGUUUGGGGUCGAGGAUUGCAACGGAUACCCUUUGGGGCUAGCCGCCUGAUCUCUAAUCGGUGUUGGGUUACGGAUAGCAUGCUGACCGUGAUCUAAUUACUGGUUAAAAGGUUAGAGCGUGCAUAAAUUCGUUAAGGAUGUUGACGUA